rnacentral:rRNA from 1 species
GACGAACGCUGGCGGCGUGCUUAACACAUGCAAGUCGAACGAUGAAGCCGGAGCUUGCUCUGGUGAAUUAGUGGCGAACGGGUGAGUAACACGUGAGUAACCUGCCCUUGACUCUGGGAUAACUGCGGGAAACUGUAGCUAAUACCGGAUAAGACCCUCGGAGGCAUCUCCUGGGGGUGGAAAGAAUUUGGGUCAAGGAUGGACUCGCGGCCUAUCAGCUAGUUGGUGAGGUAAAGGGUCACCAAGGCGACGACGGGUAGCCGGCCUGAGAGGGUGACCGGCCACACUGGGACUGAGACACGGCCCAGACUCCUACGGGAGGCAGCAGUGGGGAAUAUUGCACAAUGGGCGCAAGCCUGACGCAGCAACGCCGCGUGCGGGAUGACGGCCUUCGGGUUGUAAACCGCUUUCAGCAGGGAAGAAGCCGCAAGGUGACGGUACCUGCAGAAGAAGCACCGGCUAACUACGUGCCAGCCGCCGCGGUAA